GCAGCCUUUGUCUUCCCUUAAUCUCCUGGUUAGGAAUUAAAAGGGGGGAAAAACCCAGCAGCACAAAAGGCUCUUUUGCACGGGCUGGGAGGGGGGAAGCGCAGAGCCCAGGCAGGGUGCAGGCAGGCCUUGCCGUGUCCCCAGCCCAGCCCGGCCACCAGGGUCCCCAAGGGCCACCAGGGUCCCCAAGGGCCACCAGGGUCCCCAAGGACCACCCCACCCUGCUCCCAUGGCCCCAGGAUGAUCCCACAGUGGCACACGAGGGCUGGCGGCCCUGGAGCAUCAUCUGGUGCACUCAGCCCCUCAAAACGUCCUCACCCAUUGGCUGCUCCAGGAGGAGGCAGGGAGCAUCUUUUGGGAGGGAACUGGACUGGGCUUGCACCCCCGUGGGGUCAAGAGGCUCCUGCUCACUGCCACGGACCCACUUUUAUACACACAGUGCCCAAACACACCCUCACCUGCCCAGCACAGGGCUCCCUGCCACCCAGAGCCCCCCAAGAACCACGCAGCCACCACAGACCUCCAUAAAAUUCCUUAAAUAAUUUAAUUGAAAAAAAGUCUUUCCGUUAAAAAAUAUUUUUACAAACGCACGCUCGCAUUGAUUUCCCUGGCUGCUGUUUUUUUUCGCUGUUGCUUUUCUUUCACCAUGGAACACAGCUUUCCCCCAGAUCUGUGUGGAAAGGGAGGAGGCAGGUACAGGAUGUGGGGAGCUGCUGGGUGCACCCCUGUGGCUGGGGUGAGACCCGGGGCUGGCUGCAGGGAUGGUGUGUCCUGCCCCAAGGGAGCAGGGUGUGCAUAGAGAAGGGUGGGAGAAGGGUUUCUUGUUUAAAAUGAGAACAACCCCUCCUCAAAGCAAAGCCAGGCUAGGAUGGGGGACUGAGAUGGGGAUGUUUGAGAUGCACCAGGGCUGGUGGGGCUGGGGAGCUGCCAGGGUAGGGAGCAAGCCAGGAUGGGAAACCCCAGCAGAAUGGGGCUGUGGUGUCCCUGUGAGCCAACAUCCCAGAUACAUCUCACAGAGGGAUGUGGGGAGACCCUUCCUGCUGCCACCUGCCCUCCUGGACUUGUUUACCCUGUGGAGGAGGACAGGGUUAAUGAGAAACCCAAGGGCAGGCCUGUUCCAAGGGAAGGGAAAAAACAGCAGCUGCUGUGUUAGCCCGGGGAGGGGGGAUCAGGGCCAAAUACUGGGGAGCACAGGGGUGCACCCCCUCAUUUUGGGGACAGACCACUCGCCCCUAUGGAAUGCCAGCAAAGCACCCCAAAAGCCAGUUAACAAGGUAGCGCAGCCAAGGGGGACCUGAGAAACCCAGGAUGAGGAACUGGGGUUCCACUUGGCCACUGUGGACAAAUCUCCCCUAGACCGAGGGCAUGGCCCCACAAUUGCUCUCCCUUGCCACCUGCAGCUGGUCUGUUC
rnacentral:lncRNA from 1 species